rnacentral:rRNA from 1 species
UACGUAGGGUGCAAGCGUUAAUCGGAAUUACUGGGCGUAAAGCGUGCGCAGGCGGUGCUGUAAGACAGGCGUGAAAUCCCCGGGCUUAACCUGGGAAUUGCGCUUGUGACUGCAAAGCUGGAGUGCGGCAGAGGGGGAUGGAAUUCCGCGUGUAGCAGUGAAAUGCGUAGAUAUGCGGAGGAACACCGAUGGCGAAGGCAAUCCCCUGGGCCUGCACUGACGCUCAUGCACGAAAGCGUGGGGAGCAAACAGG